rnacentral:tRNA from 1 species
CAUUAGAUGACUGAAAAGCAAGUAAUGGUCUCUUAAACCAAAAAAUAGUAAGUUAGUAUUUACUU